rnacentral:tRNA from 4 species
GCCCCUCGUAGCUCAACGGUAGAGCAGCUGCCUCGUUUGCAGAAGACCCAGGUUCAAGUCCUCGGCAGGGGCUCCC